rnacentral:lncRNA from 1 species
AACAGCCUCUGCUGUCAUUCUGUUUCAUAGAGGAGGAAACGAAGGUUCAGAGGGGACCAAGAAUUCUCUGUAGCUGAGAGAGGCAAAGCCAGGAUCUGCACCCACGUUCCCCAUGGCCACCCAAAUGCGCCAACAGCUUCCGCUCGGGCAUCUGUCUCUAAGAAGCCAUCUGGCAGGGGGAUCCGGCAGAUGACUCGGGGCUGUUCACUCUCAGAUCUGCUGGCAAUCCAACACUCUGCUGGUGCGCCUCCCCGACACACAUGAAGGGGACCUGUCCUCCAGUCUGUCCCUCAGGCCAGGCCGCCGACUUCUAGUGUGAUCCCAUGCACCUGUCCCCACACCCUCCACUGAGGCCCAGGUCCCUCCCCCUCCAGCCCUGGCUCAGUCCAGGGGACAGGGAGGCUGAGACCUGGAGGCACCCUUCAGGGUGGAGGCCAGGAGGACCCAGGAGACUUCUCAGUGGUCAGCAGCCCAAAGCCAGCAGAACACCACUCUGGCACCAGGCCCUGCCCUGAGCUGCCCCUUUGUUGAGACUUGAGACUCCCAGGAGGGUCCUCUCUGCACCAGGGAUCCCAGUGGUAAGUCCCCAGCCUCCCCACCCCUCAUUCAAGAGCCUCCUCAUCAAGGUGCACCGAGGUCUCCUUGGGGGAAGGGGUGAGCAGAUGGGCCCCAAUUGCCCUGUGGGGACCAGGCCAGAUACCAGCAUGUGAGCUCAGGGGUGCCCAUUUGGAGACAGGACUCUGGUCAAGCCCUGAGAGGUUCAGGCAGGGCAGAGGCUCUGCAGUGCUGGCCACGCCAGCACUGGCCACCUCCCCUCCAAUCACUGUGCCUCCUGCCUCCCUGUGAUGACCAGUUUCUCCUUUCUGCAUCUGACACUCAGACGUGUGCCCUACUGCCCCGGAGGGACGCCUCUCCCAGGCUGAGCCAGUCACUAGAAAUAGCAAAGGGUCCACCUAUGAGGUGUCUUUCAAAGCAACCAGCAAUCCACAGCCCACAGCCCACCCCAGGCACUGCCCCUGCCCUCAUCACGGGCAGGGACAGUCCUGCCCCCGCUCUGUGAACCGACCCCACCCCCGCCUGCCUCUGCCUGCUGCCUCCUUCCCACAGAGGCCACGUUAGCUCCUGCUCCCUCCCCUGGCUCCGCUGCCUGCUGCCCCCCGCCCCCGGGCUUCCCCCUGUGGCCCUGCCUGGCCUGCCUCCUGAGACCUGUGCAGUAAGGAGUGACCUCCUGUCUGUUGGCCUUGCCAUACCCCGAGGAUGGCAGGUGCCGGGGCAGGGCCCUUCCUCCCCCUGAGGUGCACACAUGUCCUGGCCCAGAUGGACACCCCAAGGCACCAGGGGACUCUGCAAGUCACUGUUCCCCAGCCCAGCCUCGUCCCCGCGUGCUCCUCCAUCACAGGGGGCAGCAGCCACACCAGGGGGCCGAGGCCAAUGCGGGGCUCCCCAGGGCUCCACAUAGGGGUGUCCCGGAAGGGCUCUGGGCCUCGAGUGGGCUAUUUCCUGAAUGUCCAUUGGGAUAUGUCCUGUGUCAUCUGAGCACAACACCAGCAAGGGAGGGAGCCAGGACUGGCUGCACAGGCGGGCCCUGAGCGCGUGGCCUAGGCCAGCCUGGCCUGGGAACUGUCCGCAGCCCAGCCUCAACCCCAUCACAGCGCCUCCACUUGAAUUCCAGCACAUUCCGUGGAGCAGCUGCAGGGGUCACUCAUCCAGGGCUUCCUGGGUCCAGACCCACCAACCCCUGUUCCCUCCGCUCAGCCUGCUGGCCAGAAGCAUCCUCCCCGUCCUCCUAUCCGGCUCUCCACCCCAGCAGCGGUGACUCAGCUCCACCCACCCCCACAGCUACCUCCUCGUCCUCCAGUCCUGCCGGGCAGCCUUGGAAUGCAGCCUGAGGCUUCCAUUCCCUGUCAUCCAGGCUGCCCCACCCCUCACUGGCUGGGCUGCAGCCCUGGCCAGGGGCAGAUGCCUCCAGGAGUCCCUGGUCCGCGGCCACCACCACGCUCCUUCCAGCGAGCCUCAGGAGCCAUUCCCAGAACAUGGGGGGACAGCAGCAGGGGAGGCAGGAGAAGGGGCUCCAGGACCCUGGAGGCCGCUCCUGGGGCAGCGGGUGGCCCCCAGGCCCAGGCUCUACAGGGCAGGAGGGAGGGCCUCUCCAUAAGAGCAGGUGAGGCUGGCUGGUGCUGAUGGGCAGCCCCUCCUAAGGGUUUUCUGGGACCCUGGGAAACAAGGACGCCCCUGCUGUGGAGCAAACGGCAGGUGGCCCUGUUGGUGAGUGUGCUGUACCCUCGGCUAGCUCCACUGGUCACUUCCAGGACUCUUGGUUGUUCACAUGCAGCCUGCACCUGUGUCCUCACAGCUAGGCCUCGUGGUGAGGGGCGCUGCUCCCCAGAACCUACAAGGUUGGCAUGGGAAAUGCCAGAGAAGGCCGGAGCAUGGGGCUUCUCUGCCACCAGGAGGAAGGGCCUGCCUUU